UACAGAGGUCUCAAGCGUUGUUCGGAUUCAUUGGGCGUAAAGGGUGCGUAGGUGGCGCCGUAAGUCGGGUGUGAAAUUUCGGAGCUUAACUCCGAAACUGCAUUCGAUACUGCGGUGCUUGAGGACUGGAGAGGAGUAGAGUAAUUGUGGUAGCAGUGAAAUGCGUAGAGAUCAUGAGGAAGACCAGUGGCGAAGGCGGGUCUCUGGACAGUUCCUGACACUGAGGCACGAAGGCCAGGGGAGCAAACGGG
rnacentral:rRNA from 1 species